ACAAAAGUAACGUCACGUACCGCCGCGGCCGGAAAACGGAAAAUAAACGUAAAGACUGAACGCGGAUUCGAGGCAAAAUAAACGGAAAAUAAAUGAAGCCAGAUUUCCCGCUUCCAGCUGUUUUUAAUUUUCAUAAAAGUAACCAGAUUUGACUGGAAAUAAACCUGCGAGAUCCUUGUUCAGGGUACUUUUAGUGAAUUCGAAAGUGAAAAAGCGGAAAAUCGCUGACUAAAACCUAAAUGAAUACUAGUGAAUAUAUGUGUGAAAAGUGCAAGAAAAUCAAAGCGAAGAUCCAUCGGUGAUUAAGCCAAGAAGCCAUUCGCUGACUAAACAGUUUCCAGUGAGGGAUUAGGUCCGAGCAGCCGAAGUUUUCCGAAGUCGUGGCAAAGCGAACGCCUGCGAGUCUGUUUAUUUAACACACUUCCUCGUGGCGAAAGCCUUCAGUUCGUGUCUGCUGCUCGCGAAGUGCGCGUGAACAGGGGAAACGGAUACGGAAACGGUAACGAAAGCGGAAACGAGAACCUGAACGAAAAUUCGAAGCUCGAAACGAGACAGUGAGUGCGUGUCUGUGUGAUGGAAAGAUCGCUGCAUCCGGAAGAUCGCCAUGCCCAGCUCAAGUUUGCUCAACUAGUGAAUUAACGAAAACAACUCAAUCAGCCUUUGAAAAAAGAAAAGAAGCGACAACCUGUGUGUGACUCAGACUGCUCUUUAAGAAACAGAAUUAAGCCAAGACUUUACCUUGGAUUAGGCAGCAUGUGUGCCACGGGGAGGAACCACCGGCUCCUCAAUCGCCUCAGCAGCCUGAGCGCCCUGCUCCUCGUCCUUGGUGCGCAAUUCAUUCGCGUGGAGUUUGCCCGGGCGGAUUACGAGAACACCUGGAAUUUGUAUUACGAGCCGCCCUGCUGCACGGGCUCCGCCGCCGGCCAUCACCUGCGCCACCACAAAGAUCAUGUCAAGGACUUCAGCUGUGGCCCGCUGCACUACAAGACCUUCUACAUGGAUGAGCGCAAUAAUGCACUCUAUGUGGGCGCUAUGGAUCGCAUCUUUCGGCUCAAUCUGCGCAACAUCAGCCAAUCGAUUUGCGAGCGCGAUGUACUCAUCCUGGAGCCCACCGGCUCGGAUAUCCUUAACUGUGUGUCCAAGGGCAAGCGGGAGAAGGUGGAGUGCCGCAAUCACAUAAGGGUUAUCCAACCGAUGAACUUCAAUGGCCAGAAGCUAUAUGUUUGCGGGACCAACGCCCACAAUCCCAAGGAUUAUGUUAUAAAUGCAAACUUAACACAUUUACCCAGAUCCCAGUACGUGCCCGGCAUCGGCCUGGGCAUUGGCAAGUGUCCCUACGAUCCCGCUGACAACUCAACCGCCGUCUAUGUGGAGAACGGAAAUCCCUUCGGUUUGCCCGCCCUGUACGCCGGCACGAAUGCAGAGUUCACCAAAGCGGAUUCCGUCAUAUUUCGCUCGGACCUCUACAAUCUGACAAAUGGACGCAAGGAGGCCAACUUCAAGAGAACCGUCAAAUAUGACUCCAAGCUGCUGGACAAACCCAACUUUGUUGGCUCUUUCGAGAUCGGCGAGUUUGUCUACUUCUUUUUCCGGGAACAUGCCGUGGAGUAUAUAAACUGCGGCAAGGCUGUUUAUUCUCGUGUGGCCAGAGUCUGCAAAAACGAUCGUGGCGGCAAAUAUAUGAUCAGCCAGAAUUGGGCCACGUAUCUUAAGGCUCGCAUGAACUGCAGCAUUUCCAGCGAGUUUCCCUUCUACUUCAACGAGAUACAAUCGGUGUACAAGAUGCCCACGGAUGAUACCAAGUUCUAUGCCACGUUUACAACGAAUACGAAUGGACUGAUUGGAUCGGCAGUGUGUAGCUACGAUAUAGGGGAUAUAAAUGCGGCCUUUGAUGGCAAAUUCAAGGAGCAGGCCACCUCAAACAGCGCUUGGCUGCCCGUGCUGAACUCCAAAGUGCCGGAGCCACGUCCGGGAACUUGCCACAACGACACCGCCACGCUGCCGGACUCCGUGUUGAAUUUCAUCCGCAAACAUCCGCUAAUGGACAAGGCGGUCGAUCAUGAAUUUGGCAAUCCGGUCUUCUUCAAGCGGGACGUCAUCCUCACCAAGCUGGUGGUGGACAAGAUACGGAUCGACAAGCUGAACCAGGAGUUCCUCGUGUACUUUGUGGCCACAACCUCGGGCCACAUCUACAAGAUAGUGCAGUUUAUGCACUAUGGCCAGCGGCACUCCAACCUGGUGGACAUCUUCGAGGCCUCGCCACACAACGAGCCAAUUCGGGAGCUGACCUUGAGCCACAAGACGGGCUCCCUAUACCUGGCCACCGAUCACCAGGUUAAGCAGAUCGACAUGGCCAUGUGUGCCCGUCGCUAUGACAGCUGCUUCCGCUGCGUCGCGGAUCCGUACUGCGGCUGGGACAAGGAGGUGAAGGCCUGUCGACCAUACCAGCUGGGUCUGCUCCAGGAUGUGGCCAACGAGACGUCGGGCAUCUGCGACACGAGUGUGCUGAAGAAGAAGGUAACCUCCUCCUACGGCCAGACCCUGCAUCUGUCGUGCUUCGUCAAGAUGCCGGAAGUGCUGAGGAAGAAGCAGACCCGCUGGUACCAUCACUCUACGGAAAAGGGACGCUACGAGGUACGCUACACGCCCACCAAGUACAUCGAGACGAACGAGGGCGGACUGGUGCUCCUGGCGGUGAACGAGGGCGACGGCGGCCGGUAUGACAGCUACUUGGAUGGCACCCUGCUCUGCAGCUACGGCGUCACCGUGGAUGCCCACAGAUGCUCGCCGCCGUCGCAGAAGCAGGACUACCAGAAAAUCUACUCGCACUGGUGCAAUGAGUUCGAGAAAUACAAAUCGGCCAUGAAGCAGUGGCAGGCCAAACAGGAGCAAUGCGGCCUCAAGGAUAAGGCAGGACCAAUCAGCAGCAGCAACGACGGCAAGCACGUGAACGAUGUGUUCAGCAACGAUGCCUUGGUCUGACCCAGAACGUACUUGUACAGCUUUGAGUUUCUGUCGUCGUCGUCGUCGUCGGAGGGCGUGGCCACCGCCCACCGCAAAUUGUACAUUUUCGUGUUCGUGCUUACCAUAUUUGCUCGCUUCUAAAGUUUCUAGUUAAAAUGUAAAUGCGCAGAGGAGCAAAACCAAACAGAGUGAGCACCCAAGAAAUCUGUGUGGAAAAUGUGACAAGUACCGACGAAAAAAACUUAAAGGAAAAGGAAAAAACAAAAAAAAAAGAAGGAAAAACCACUACAAAGACUGAAAUUUUUAAGCUUUUAAAAUCGACAAUAUUUCCAAUAAUUUCGAUGCGUUUUUUUUUUGUCAUUGUUUCGUUUCGUUUUUGAGAUGUUGUCAGCGUCUAACUGAAUGAUUUUCGACAUAUUAACUAAACUGAUAUACAAAGAUGGAGUAAACGAGAAAAGUUACUAGCAAAAGGAUCCUGCCAUAAGUCAAAUGGAAAUUACGGUUUUACACUCACACAGAAAACACUCACGACACUAUUUCUACUUCGAGCUAAGGUUAAGGAUAAUCUAAUCUAACAGAUACAGAUACAGAAACAGAAACAGAUACAGAAACAGAUACAGAUACAGACACAGAUGGAACUGCAACCACCUAAGCGAGAAUCUGACCCAAGGCAAAAAGUAUUAACGAACAUGUACGAGAGUAGCUCACAGCUGAUGAGGCGCAACGAUUUGAUUUUGAUUUCGAUUUAGUUCGGUUUCCGAGAACUCGUUCGGGCUCUUGGGGUUGGGAAGAUCUUAAACGAAUUUGUAUAUUACUUAGCAAUAUUUGUUCGACUAAACUAGCGUAAGACACACCCAAACACCCAAACACACACACACACACAACUAGCUGCCCCUGUUUAGGUCAUAGACAAGUACGGAUACGGAACCAACUUAAAACGAUAGCCAAAACAAACCGGAAAUAGGGAGAAACAUUGGACGCACAGUACAUAUACAUAGAUGUAUGUAUAAUCUGAACGCUAUGAACUAUAGCUUAAGACGAUUUGUAAAUAGGAGGGCUUUAGUCGAUAAGUGAAUCAGCAUUCAUUUAGUUUUUUACUCGGCUCCGAUUUUGAUUUGGAAUUCUCGAUUCGGCAUUAACUCGCUCUUGUAUAGACGGUGCGUUGGCCUAAUGUUUACGAUAAGCAAUACAUAGUUACAUAUAUAUAUAUAUGAUAUGCGUAUGCGUAAUAUAAAGACAUAUAGUUAUAGAUACAUGAAGUUACUGCAUUGAGACCAACAUGCUCAUGAUUACACUUACCCGAACGUAGCCUAGGUAAGUUGGUGUGGCAAAUAGAUACGUGUUUUAUUAAAUACUGCCGAAACUCCAUUCACGCACAUACCCGGAAAAUCCAUUGAAACUGCCGUAAGAUAUAGAAACAAAUAAAUCUUGGAAAAACUAAGCGCUUCACCGAACACGAAACCAAAAUAGGUAUUUUGCAGCCGAAAUGUUUAAAUAAAAGAAAAUCCCCAAAUCGUAAGCAUUACUCUCUCACCUCACGCACACACCACACACUCGAAAUAUUUUUCUACAAGUUUUCUCGGCGAAAUUUUUAAUGUUUUCAUCUUAGGAUUUACCCAACAAAACGAAAAACAAAAAAAUAAGAAAGCAAACAUUUUAGCAUUGCAUACGGGCAUUGCCAUUGUACAUGAACUAAACCAAAACCACAGGAGAAAAACUAUUCGAAAGUAUAUUUAAAAGCUACUAAUGCUCUGAGCUUCUAACUUUAAUGAAUGAAAAAUGUUUUUGCGUUGCCUUCAGUAGAGUUUUUUUCGUUCGAAUAUUUAUUGUAAAUAAUUUAAAGAUUAUGUGAAAUGUUUUGUAUGACAAUCACAUGAUGUUGAGUAAAAGAAAAAAUAAACAAAUAGACGCAAAACCAGAGAGGAAAAACAAAUGAAAACUCGGAAAAAACACGCAGAAAAAAUGAAUCGAAUUGCCAUUGCGGCAAUUAGAGAUGAAAAUUAAUAUUAAUUGAGUACUUAACGAACAAUUCAUUGUAAAAAUAUUAAUACAAGGUAAAUAAAUAUUCGCGGUAAAUAUAAAUAUAUAUAUAUACAUAAAUAGAUAAACGACUUUUACAAAGUAUUCAUACAAUAAAAGAAAAUUUGCGCUUACAAAUAAUUCGAAUUCGCCCAAUUAAAGGUUCCAUUCGAACAAUUUCAAACGCAGAUUGGUCUACGAGCUAUCGAAAUAUUUCCGGAAAACAACAAAAUCAGAAAAAAAAAAACAGAAAGAAAGUAAGAAAACAAAUUAGGUGUAAACACAUAAAAGUAAAAUGCAGUAAAUAAAUGUGAUAAGAUUCUUUAAUAAGCAAAAAA